UACGGAGGGUGCGAGCGUUGUCCGGAAUCACUGGGCGUAAAGGGCGCGUAGGCGGUGCGAGAAGCGUGUGGUGAAAGGCCGGGGCUCAACUCCGGCUCGGCCGUGCGGACUCUCGCGCUUUGUGAGUGCUGUAGAGGCGGGCGGAAUUCCGGGUGUAGCGGUGGAAUGCGUAGAGAUCCGGAAGAACACCGGUGGCGAAGGCGGGUCUCUGGGCCGAUACUGACGCUGAGGAGCGAAAGCGUGGGGAGCGAACAGG
rnacentral:rRNA from 1 species